UAUUUCCCCUUCUGUUAGCAGUUUCCAUUUCAGAGCUGGCAGAGUUUUCCGUUUUCCUCCAGGGUUUCUGCGUAUGAGAAAGUCGAUUUGAUGGUCACAAGCAUGGGAUCAGCAUGGUAAACACUUUGCUUCCAGCAUGCACCGAGUGCCUCGGUUGGCAUCACUUCCAGUCUCUGGAACCACUUAACGCAGGCUCAACUUCCUUGUUUCUGGUCUGCAACAUCCAUGAUGAGAAGCCCAUCGUCACCUUUAAUCGUCUGCAUUUGUUAUGUCCUUUCUCAGAUUUUCUUCAUCUUUUGGCAGUUCUGUAACUCUGUUUGACAUUCAGCAGCCUCCCUUUCAGGUACCCAGUGCUACGAAAGCUGCUGGACAGCUACAACACACCACUUCAAGCUGUGUGUUCACUGUAAUUCCUCCUUUCAUUACUCCAGCGAUGGAUACCAGAUCUCCUCCAAUACCAGCCAAGAAUGCUGCAGUGCAUGCUGUGGACAGCUCCCCAGAGACCGUUGUCAAAUGUGCUUCGACAUACUAGGACAGAUUGCUGGACCAUUCGGUGUAUGAUUUCACUAAACCCCUAUCCUCUCCAAAAUCCUGCAGUGCUACCCCAUCUCAGCACAGCUCAGGGGGAUUCCUGGGUCCCUCUGCCUACAUGCAGCACCCUUCUGCUUCCUGAUCUUGUCUGGGUGAGCUCUUUGUUAUUCUAAUGUGCACUGCCGGAUGACUGAGUUCAGGCACUUUGCCCCUUAUCUGGCUUUUCCAUCUACACAUCUUCAGUUGAAAUCUGUUCCCAGGCUCUCCACAGAGCUUCCCACAGGACUCCUUCAGCCUUUCUACCUUGUCCAUUGUCAUCACUGAUUGCAAUCACAGGUAACCUGAGGUAACCUGUUUCCUUCUUGGCCUGCAUGGUGCUGUGAGCAUGAAAAGACUGCCCUUGGCAAGACUUCUGGUACCUAGUGUUUGCUUUAUUUUUAAUUUCAGUCACUAAUAAAACUUGUAUAUCACCCUACUUGGGACCCUGU
rnacentral:lncRNA from 1 species